rnacentral:rRNA from 1 species
GGUGGCAGCAGUGAGGAAUAUUGGUCAAUGGGAGAGAUCCUGAACCAGCCAAGCCGCGUGAGGGAAGACGGCCCUAUGGGUUGUAAACCUCUUUUGUCGGAGAACAAAACCCGGGACGUGUCCCGGACUGCGUGUAUCCGAAGAAAAAGCAUCGGCUAACUCCGUGCCAGCAGCCGCGGUAAUACGGAGGAUGCGAGCGUUGUCCGGAAUCAUUGGGCGUAAAGAGUUCGUAGGCGGCAUGUAAAGUCAGGUGUUAAAGGCGCAGGCUCAACCUGUGUAUGGCACUUGAUACUUGCAAGCUGGAAUGCGGUAGAGGUAAAGGGAAUUCCUGGUGUAGCGGUGAAAUGCUUAGAUAUCAGGAGGAACAUCGGUGGCGUAAGCGCUUUACUGGGCCGUAAUUGACGCUGAGGAACGAAAGCCAGGGUAGCAAAUGGGAUUAGAUACCCUUGUAGUC